AAUAGCCUCCGCGGUGCGGCGAAUCAGUCCUUCACCCUGGGAACUAAUAUUAGAGGGGGACUCCUGCUCCUUUAAGAACCUACUUGUUGCAUUCUACAUCUAAUAUUGUGACAAAAAUGGUUAUCAAAGUAUUUCUUGCCUCUUCGUCCGGGUCGACUGCGAUCAAGAAGAAGCAGCAGGAUGUGGUCGGGUUCCUCGAGGCUCUGAAGGUGGAGUACACUCCACUAGACAUCGCCUGCAAUGAGGACAACCGCAUGUGGAUGAGGGAGAACGUCCCUUCAGAAAAAAAGCCCUCCAAUGGCAUCCCUCUGCCCCCUCAGAUUUUUAACGAAGAGGGCUACUGUGGGGACUAUGAAACCUUUUUCAAUGCCAAGGAGGACAACCUGGUCUAUUCCUUCCUAGGGCUGGAUCCACCCCCAGGAUCCAAGGAAGCGCUACAGGCAGAAAAAAGCGCUGUAAAGGAGAAUGGCACACACGUCGAAGAAACCAGUACAGAGGAGAACCUUGAUAAAUCAAUAAGUGAGGAGGUUCCUGUGGAGGAACGUAACGGGAAAGCCCACAGGGAGGGAGAGGAGCAAGACACAAUAGAAGAAGUGGAAGGGGAGGCGACGGAGGAUCGGGCCGUGGGGUUGGAGGAGGCCCUUGCAGAGGGGGAGGAAGAGGAGGCGGUGGAAGAAACGGAGGACGCUGAGGCUCGUGCAGGGGAGUAUGAAGAGGAGGAAGAAGCUGACGAAGAUAAGGAAGAAGAUGACCAGCCAGUGUCUGAGGUCUCCUGUGGAGUGGGGAGGAACAGGAUUUGCAUUCAGAGGAAGAAGAAGAGCUGCGACAGCUUGAGGAAGAAGAUGAGGCGGAAGCCGUAGAGGAGGAGGAGGAGGACGAUGUGGAUGAAACAAAGGAGGAUGAGUAGUCGGAGCUGGUGAGCGUCGGAUGAUGAGACCCAAGCUUACACAGCCCAUUUUGAAAGCCCUCUCAGAAUCCCCUCGCCCCCCGGCCCCACCCUACACCACCGCCCACCAGGACCCUCCUCGGGGGGGCUGUCUCUGUUCCCCAACCACUGGACCCUUACUGGAAACGUCUUGUUCCACAGGGGCCCAAGAAGGUCCUCCAAGCCCACCGUCAUAUUUACCCAUUUUUGGCGAUAGACUGCAACGUUGACCUAAUUUUUAUAUUUAAUUUGUAGGUUGAACAAUGUCGUCUAGUGGAGUCGUGUUUUGUACAGUCAAUGUGAAAAGGCAGUGUGUGUGUGUGUGUGUGUGUGUAAACACUUCUGGUCCAUUUUUGAACUUACUGUUUCAAAUUGGUAAUUUUAUACCACAAAUAGUAAAUGAUAGUUGUUACUAUACACACCAUUGAUUGCAAGCAAUUUCUGAACCAAAAAUAACAGAUUUGAGAAAUAUCACACUUUCCACCAUUUUCAAUACACUAUUAUGACGUACUGAUGUCUUAGAAUUUCAUGCAGCGAUAGCUGUUUAAAUGAUGUGCCUCGAUGACUGCGAACGGAAAUUAUUUGUACCAGAUGUAUGAAUGUAACCCAAGAAGCCCUUACACCCACAUGAGUGCGAGACACACACACACACUGUAUGACUGUGUGUAUUAUCUCCUGUGCCAGAGGUUCUGUGCUUCUUCCACUGAAUGAAUAUUGCUGUUUUUAAGACUUGCACUUUGUGGACAUGCAGUGUAAAGCACAUGUCGGUGACUAAGCCAUAGACACAAACAAGAAUGACAUCAAUAAAAUAGUGGUACAAAAACAACAA